rnacentral:rRNA from 1 species
AUGCUCUCGCAUCGCUUUUUUUUAGAAAGCUCUACCAGCGAGAAAAAGUGUUUGGCCCGAGCCAAAAAGAGGUUGAUCCAUUUCAUUCGCCAACCGAAUGAUCUUCGCUUCGCGGGAACAACAAAAACCACCAUAUCGCUCUUUCCUUUCUUCGGUGCUACCUUCUUUUUUCCAAGGGAUGGGGUUGGGGUGUAUAAUAACCCUUUUUUUGAGUAUGCCCGGAAACAACUCCUAGCUCAAUUUAGGAUCAAAUGUAGGAACCUCAUGGGUAAGGAUAAGGUAAUGGAAUUGAUAGAGAAAUUCAUAGACCUAGGUGGGAUAGGAAAAUUGAUAAAGGGAAUAGAGAUGAUGAUAGAGAUCAUACUGAGAAAGAGGAUAAUUCCGUACGGGUACAACUCUUAUUUGAACAAAGUGCAAAAAAUGCGAUCUUUUUUGUCUAAUAGAAUAAACACUAAUACCUUAAUUGAGUCGGUAAAGAUCAAAUCUGUUUAUCAAAGUGCUUCUCUGAUUGCUCAAGACAUCUCUUUUCAACUGAGGAACAAUCCAAUCUCAUUUCGUUCCAUUUUUAGUAAAAUAGUGAAGGAUAUUCCAUUAAUAAUGCCAAAAGGGGUGGAGUACGUAUUUGUUGUUCUAGUCGAUUAG